AACGAACGCUGGCGGCAUGCCUAACACAUGCAAGUCGAACGAUGCUUUCGGGCAUAGUGGCGCACGGGUGCGUAACGCGUGGGAAUCUGCCCUGGGGUUCGGGAUAACAGCGGGAAACUGCUGCUAAUACCGGAUGAUAUCGCGAGAUCAAAGAUUUAUCGCCCUGGGAUGAGCCCGCGUCGGAUUAGGUAGUUGGUGGGGUAAGAGCCUACCAAGCCGACGAUCCGUAGCUGGUCUGAGAGGAUGAUCAGCCACACUGGGACUGAGACACGGCCCAGACUCCUACGGGAGGCAGCAGUGGGGAAUAUUGGACAAUGGGCGCAAGCCUGAUCCAGCAAUGCCGCGUGAGUGAUGAAGGCCUUAGGGUUGUAAAGCUCUUUUACCCGGGAUGAUAAUGACAGUACCGGGAGAAUAGGCCCCGGCUAACUCCGUG
rnacentral:rRNA from 1 species